AUGUACAAAGAGAGACGAGGGAAGUUGACCAGUGAUGCUUGGCAACAUGGAGUAGAUAAUUUUCUAGAUCAUGCAUUCUCAUUGCCCGAUGCUGCUGUAGACGGGAAAUCCCAUUGUCCUUGCAGCAAGUGCUUUUGCGGUCAUAAGUGCACAAGGGAUGUCAUGACCACACACUUGUGCAGCAAUGGGUUCAUGUUAGGAUAUGAGAGAUGGACUAGCCACGGGGAGUCUGAUGCACCUGAAAAUGUAGAGCAUGAUAACGUGGGGGAUGGAGAUAGAAUGAAUGACAUGCUAGUUGAUGCAAUUGUUGCUGAAGGAGUUUCUAAAGGUGAUGAGCCAACAAAAGCUGCCAAAAAAUUCUAUGAAAUGUUGAUGGAAGCCGACAAACGUUUGCAUGAGAAGACCACACAAUCACGUCUAUCCAUUGUAGGAAGGCUAAUGACUAUUAAAACACAACAUAAUCUGUCAGAAGCUUGUUACAAUGAGAUGAUGACUCUUAUACAUGACAUUGUUGGGGACGAUGCUGCAAAAGAUCUCCCAGCAAACUUCCAUAGGUCCAAGAAGCUUGUGCAUAGUCUAGCAAUGCCUUACGUCAAAAUUCAUGCACGCCCCAAUAAUUGUAUGAUUUAUUAUAAAGAGAAUGAAAAUAAAGAAAAAUGCACUAUCUGCAAAGAACCUAGGCGUGAUCAUGUUCGCACUAUAUGGAAGAAGAAUCCUCGAUAUAAUAAUGGAGGAACACGCGUGCAGAAUGAUGGUUGCACCUUAGAUGUGUUUGAGCAUGUAGGAAACCUACAUGGGAGGCCUAUUGCCCGAGAACUAUCGCGUGAAGAGUUGAAUGCAGCAAGGUUGUACAUUUUGACUAACUGCUCUGCUGUUGAUAGAUUUCGUGAAACAUUUGAAGAUGAAAAAUAUGCAAGUCAUCCAAACUUGACAUCGGAGGGCCUUGAUGAAAUGAUGGCAUCCGAAUUUGUGGAAUGGUUCGAGAUUGCUUGCAAAGAAGAUCCCAAUUCUGAUGAGGACUUGUGGAAUUUAGCUAAUGGAUGCAGCUCUAGAGCCUAUUCCUAUAGCUCCUAUGAUGUGAAUGGCUUUCGCUUUAGAUCAGAGAUAUCUGAGAAAGAACAUAGAAGGUUGAAAACGGUGAACACAGGGGUUUGUUUGUCAUCCUUCAUCUCAAACUGA
rnacentral:rRNA from 1 species